GAUGAAGAACGUAGCGAAAUGCGAUAAGUAAUGUGAAUUGCAGAAUUCAGUGAAUCAUCGAAUCCUUGAACGCACAUUGCGCCCGCCAGUAUUCUGGCGGGCAUGCCUGUUCGAGCGUCAUUACAACCCUCAGGCCCCCGGGCCUGGCGUUGGGGAUCGGCGGAGCCCCCCGUGGGCACACGCCGUCCCCCAAAUACAGUGGCGGUCCCGCCGCAGCUUCCAUCGCGUAGUAGCUAACACCUCGCGACUGGAGAGCGGCGCGGCCACGCCGUAAAACACCCAACUCUUCUGAAGUUGACCUCGAAUCAGGUAGGAAUACCCGCUGAACUUAAGCAUAUCAAUAAGCGGAGGA
rnacentral:misc_RNA from 1 species